rnacentral:rRNA from 1 species
UACUAGAGUAGCACUCGCAUAUCAAUAAGCGGAGGAAAAGAAACUAACAAGGAUUCCCCUAGUAACGGCGAGUGAAGCGGGAAGAGCUCAAAUUUGAAAUCUUAAAGGGUUUCCCUUUACGAAUUGUAGUUUAAAGAAGUGUUUUCUGUUGAGGUUUUGGUAAAAGUUCUUUGGAAUAGGACAUCAUAGAGGGUGAGAAUCCCGUAUUUGACCUUUACUUUCAACUUUGUGAUACACUUUCAAAGAGUCGGAUUGUUUGGGAAUGCAGUCCAAAAUGGGUGGUAAAUUUCAUCUAAAGCUAAAUAUUGGCGAGAGACCGAUAGCGAACAAGUACCGUGAGGGAAAGAUGAAAAGAACUUUGAAAAGAGAGUUAAACAGUACGUGAAAUUGUCAAAGGGGAAGCGUUUGACACCAGUGUUGUUUUUCUGAAAAUCAAUUAAAGAACUGUUUAUGCUAAGUUGUUUAGACUUUAUCAGCUAACUGUUUAGUUUUGAGCUUUUCUUUAAUGCACUUUUCAGUUAACGAGUCAACAUCAAUUUCUUUUGCUGUAAAAAAGCUUGAGGAAGGUGGCUUGAGAUUCGUCUUAAGUGUUUAUAGCCUCUUGCCUAUGCAGUCGGAGAGAUUGAGGUCUGCAGCGUAGAUCCUUCGGGGCUAAAUGCAUUUGUGCUAAGUUAUAGCAUUUUAUAGACAACUUGUUGACUAUGAUUUGUCUUGUAGCUUACUCGCUUAUGUUAUUUUACCUACGCUUAGGAUGUUGAGUAGCGACAUACGCAC